ensembl:snRNA U6 U6 spliceosomal RNA
GUGCUCACUUUGGCAGCACAUAUACUAAAACUGGAAUGAUGCAGAGAAGAUUAGCAUGGCCCCUGCGCAAGGAUGAUACGCAAAUUUGUGAAGCAUUCCGUGUUUUU